GCGGCUGGGAACGACGCACGCAGGCUCCGGCCGUCUCCGUCUCCAUCUCCGCGCUCCGCUCCGCUCAGCCCCCGGGCUGCGGCGCGCCCAUGCUGCGGCCCGGGCAGCGCGGAGGGAGGGGCGCGGGGCGCCGCCGCUCUCGGGGCAGAGACAACGCGGCGAAAGCCGCCCCGCCAGGGGGUCAGACACGCACCGCGGCGGCUGCCCCCUCAGCCCCGAGCCACAGCGACUCCCCAGCGAGCACCCCGCCGGCCCCCGACUCGCGCCCCGGGGCUGGAGCCCGGCCCAUAGCGCCUGGCCGGGCCGCCCGGCGGGAAUGACAGCGGCAGCGGCGGGGGCGGGGCUGCGCCUCUCCUGAGACCCGCGGCUCAAGCCGUGACCUUGGCUGGAGGCGCUGCGCCUGGGGAGCCCUCCUGCGCCGUGCGCCGUGCGCCCUCCCCCGAGCGCCGCGGAGGCGGCCCCCGGGGGGAGCCGAGGGCAGCUGGGGGCCGCACAGCCGCCGGUGCCCGGGGGUCGACGCAGAUGGGGGGGCGCAGAGCUGCAGGGCCAAGCAAAGCUCCAGCCUCCAGCAGCCGCCGGCCAGCUGCGCAGCCCAAAUCGGGGGCCACCUUUUCCCCCACCACACCCCCGCCCUGCGGAGAAAGAGCGGGGGGAGCUCUCCCAACCGCACGGGGCUCAGCCCAGGAGCUGCUGGACAGAAGGCAGGUGCCCCUCCGGAGAGGACCCACCUCAUGGGGGACUGCAUAGUUGAGCUGUGGGACGAGAAGCCCGUGCUGGACAUGAGAUGUGGUGUCACAUCCGAGGACUCUGCAAAGGCCCUUUCAGUUACCGGGAGGAACUGUGGGGUGUUCGUUCAGUCAGACACCGCAGAUAGACUCGCCAUUCAGAAAAAGAGAGAUCCAGAGAGGCUUUGGAGAGACUGGUAUAAAACACUCUGAAAAAGGAGAAAGAGGAAGACAGAUGGCUGGGGACCGGUAAUGGGCCAAGCAGGGGGUUGGGCUUUGCCAGGCUAAACCCCAAAUAUCAGGAAUGGGCAGGUUCUGUAUUCUGGGCAGUAUUUUGUGUUCUCGUAGCUCAUCUGUGAUUUCCGCCUCAAAAUGUAACAUGCCAAAGCCACUACCCGUGCACUUUCCCACCUACAUCACCGGCUGGAAUGGUACCCAAGACAGAAGUGGACAGAAGCCCUUACUAGUUGAUGUGUAACGAGCGUGGUGGUUCUCGGGUCAGGUCCUCUUGGUCUGGGAAUCAGAGAACUGUUCCUAAUUGCGAUCCCAGCAGAGGGGCCAAAGACGGUGUGGACCUGAUCACCCCUAGAAGUGGUCCCUAAAGCGCCACUCCACAAAGCAGUGUAGCGGAAGCUCUGUGGCCCACGCUGUGCCUGCUCUGCGGAGAGGGAGGCCUUUGGACCACUUUUCACAUGCACUAAACUCACUGAAUAGAGAGAAAUUUCCAUUAAAAAGCAGCUCAGUAGCUCACUGCACUUCGCUCAGCUGACAGCGGCAAGUGGGAUCUAAGCCAGCACGUGGAGGAGCCUCACCUUUGCCAUGCUGGCUUUUCAGGGGAGACGAACUCCGUUCUGCAGGGCCGCAUGGGCUCCAGCCCCCUUCCAGCGGCAUGCGGGGCAAGGCUAUAAUAGUCAUUCCAUUAAGCAAAGAAAAAUACAAUCAGCCCACACUACCCAGUGGGAUGGGAGAACUAAACAGUUCUGUCAAGGACUGGGAAAGCAGCGGAUGUUACUGCUGGCCUGGCUGGCUGAGAAAGGAGAAAGCAAGCACAAAAGGCAGAAUGGAAACGGAAGGGGGACAGUGUUAUCUUCCAAGGGAUCUGUCCUCCCCCUCCCCCCGCAGUUAUGCUAAGAGGGCUUUUUGAGCUGCCCUGCGGCAUGGGCUCUUAGAGGGGAGCAGGCAGCAGAGCAGGCAUUUGUAGUCACCGAACUGCCUGGCUUGCGAGUCCUGGGAGUUUCCAAGUCUGCCUCUGCAUCGGCUCCUUGCACUCCCCCAGGGAUCACAGACAGGAACCAAGGGCAGAAGCAGGACAAGCUCCAUGCAACGUUUUCGAUCCAUAAAACAAGCGACAACGGUGGGGGUUUUGAGCACGUGCUGGGUAGCGUGUCAGCAGGGGAAGUGGGUGAAAAUUUUCAGCUGAAACUUUUUUCAGUGAAAAAUGCAGGUUUGACAAAACAGAAAAAUGAACCAAAUUCAUGUCGGUUUCACGGAAUUGUGUUAGUCGAAAAUCAGCCCCCUCCCCCCCAAAAAACUGAAAAAAAAAUCUAAAUGUUUUGAAUCAACAUUUUGAAAUGUCCUUUAAUUUUCUUAAAACAAAAUAAAAAAAAAGUUUACGAACGGUCGAAAUUACAAAACACUUUGAUUCUCUUUAACCAGUACUUUUCCACUGACCCAAAAUGAAUUUUUACUUUUUGAUUCUCUAAAAAUUACCCAAAACAAUUGUUUUCUGGUCAACCUAAAACAAUUUUUUUCAAUGUUUCAGACUUCCAGCAUACAGAAAAACCCAGAUCUAUACGCCCAGCUUUAGUCCAUGUCCUUUCCAUGACUUCCAAAUCUGGUCCAGGACUUAGGGCACUGUUUCCCAAAUUGCGGGAAGGGUAUAGUUGUGGGAAAGAUGUAGGCGGGUCACACAUGCCCAGAGGCAUUUCCCCCUGCAUCCACCAUGGUGCCGCUUCCCCUGGGCAGCAGGCAGUGGUGUGGGGUGGAGGAUCUUGGCGGCAGCAGUGCAGGG